GAAACAGACAGGCAUGCAGAAGUAACUAGACGUCCAACACAUGCCAAAGUCUUGCGGGCCCAGGAUUUCAAACAAAAGAAAACUCGGAUCCAGCUUAGAAAUAAUGUUUCACUCAAGAUAAGGCUUGUGGUUUAGGAGAUUCUGGUCUGGCCUGCCUCACUUUAAGACUUCUAUCAUCUCUUUUCAAAACCUGAGGAGGACCUCAUUUCCUGUUUGAUAGUUCUUCAUGCUGUGCCAGCCUCCGGGUCUUUAACGAAGCUUGCCAAGAGUUCCCGGCUGGGAAGGACAGUCUGAGUUCAUCAUAGAGAAUGAGCUGGCACCACAGUUGUAGUGACUCAACAACCUCAUUGCCCACUUUGCAGUGGCAAGAACCACACUAUCUAAUUGAAAGACCUGUGUUUUAACAAAGUGCAAUUGGAUCACAUGGCAAAAUCUUCUCAAAAUAUGUCUCCAGUCUUUGCUUUCACUGGAUGUUUUGAACCCAAAGGAAAUUAUAUUCUGAAUUAUAUUUGUUUUUUUUGUUUUUAAUUGAGAUUAAUUAACAGAUACUUGGUUUUAUGUCCAUUCCGUUCUAGGAAUUUAGUGGUGAUUACAAAGCAGUGAAAAUAGGUCACAGCAAAAUGAACAUUCAAGAUUAGGUUAAAGCAUUCCUCUGAAAUUUCAGUAUUCAUUUUUGGAGUGUCAGUUACUACAUUUCUGUAAUUCAUCAUUUUUUUCUUUCUUGGCUUACAGUCAAGAUGAGAAAUGAUAUCGAGACCAAAGACAUUGUUUUGUUACACAGCCAGUGCUUUUUAAAAUGCAAAACCACCCUCCCCUCACCAAUGCUUAAUCGUUUGUGUGUGCGUAUGCUCACAUACACACACACACACAUAUGCUGGAGAAAAACCUUUCAAGACUUCCAGGACCUGGGUCGUGUAAGAGGCAGAUGAGAAAAUUAAAGGAGGACCAGAAGGAGGCCAGAACAGUAGCAACACUAAGAGUCAAUGAUUUAACUUUACAAAAAGUCCUUAUAUAUGACACAGGCAUUUUUAAAAAAUGCCACCCUGAAUAUUUUAUUUUCUCCAAGAAAGUGGACUACUCUUUGAGAGUUCUAGCCUGUGAACUCAUUAUGUAAAUGUGGUCAUCAAGCAAGACAAAACUGCCAAGAGAGAAGAUUUUAUCCGACGAACAUUCCUUCUUCCAGUGGUACUUUGCUCAAAGUUUCCCCCAUUUUCCAGUGAUGUUGAAAUGGAUCCAGAGCAACUCUACGGGUAGCUAAACUGAGAUGCCAUUUCAUCUGAAUCCUUUGUAAAAAUUAGAUUUUAAGUAGGGGUGAAUGUCCUUUCCGGAGAAAAAACCAGGAAGAGUGGAAGCAGAGGGGGAGGAGACUGAGCAGUUUAUACACAUAUAUACUCUUUGUGUUUGAAGGCCUCUGUGUCUUGGCUUCUCACUAUGUUAAAUCCCUAUUAUAAAACUUAUCUUCACAAAGCCUAUUAUAGUAUUCUGAGAACAAAUUGGACCAUGAAUAACUUAGUUGGAAGUGUAGAUUAUUUUCUACUUAGGGAAAGUUAGAGAUGACAACAGCUUAACUAAAAGAAUAGUGAUUAAUCUUAAAUAGAUGGAUUUCAAAGUUUCACUCUUGAUAAAGAGUACCUUUGAUAGUUCCCCUCUUCAGACUCAUGUUUCCACUUUCUUUGUAUUAAGAGUUGUCCUAGUGAUUACACUGUCCACCUAAUACAGCAUGGCUCUAACUGUGGAUCCUUUUCUUACAGUUUGUUAAUCUGUCUGAGAGGUGGCCAAAAAGACAUUCUACUUCCUAUUGGUAAAUGUAUGAUUUCAAAGUGGUACCCAUGCCUAGAUAUCAAACUCACUGUUAGGAAAGAUAUGUUGCAUAAAUCAUAAUUUCUCAACUAGAUAAAAUUAUUACUUAAAAAAUCUUAACUUUGUUUUAAUGCCCUAUAACUUACAAAGCACUUCACAAUUCAUAAUUUUGUUUGAUCCUUAGAAUAAUGUCAUGAAAUAAUAUCAUUAAUCCCAUUUUACCAAGGAGGCAGCUGAGUCGUUGGCACACUGUGAUCCAGCUGAUAAAUGGAACACCUCGGAUACCAACUCAGAUUUUAUAGCUUCUGCUUCAAGUGAUUAACCUAUAGCAAUAGGCUUUUAUGUUCUAUAUCCCUGAAAACCAAGAUUUUGUAUUAAGGAGCAAAGUUUUUAUAUUUCACAAAAAAGUUAUGACACAAUUUAAAAACUUUUUUCAUUUAGAAAUGAAUUUUACUGAUUAUUAUUUUCUUUUGUGUGUAUCUAUCUAUGUAUCAAUGGUCUUUCAGAAUUAAUCUCUAGAAGUCAAACAUGGGCAGCCCUACAUAAAUUAAAUAACUACCUGGAAUUUUUUAAAUGAACACGAAAACCAUCGAUAAUACUAUAGGUGAGGUUUCUUGUCUAGUGUGUUUUGUUUUUGUUUUUUUAGCUCUGUUGAGAUAUAAAUGACAAAUAGAAUUGUUAGAUAUUUAAAAUGCACAUCAUGAUGAUUUGAUAUGGGCAUACAUUGUGAGGGGAUUCCCCCAGUCAAUUAAUACAUCUAUCACCUAUGCAUUUAUUUAUGUAUUUUUCAAGGAAAAUAUUUACGUUCUACUGUCUCUCUUUUCUUUUGGCCAUGCCAAGUGGCAUGCAGGACCCCAGUUCCCUGAACCAGGAAUCGAACCCAUGCCCCCCACAGUGGAAGCUUGGAGUCCCAACCACUGGACCUCCAAGGAAAUUCCAUUAAGUUUUACUCUAUUAACAAAUUUCAGUUAUUCAAUACAGUCUUAUAAACUAUAGUCACCAUGUUGCACAUUAAAUUUUCAGACUUUAUUCAUCUUAUAGCUGAAAGUUUGUACUCUUUUAUUAACCUCUAAUUCCCUCACUCUCCAGCUCUGCCUUCUAGUGUUUAUAAACUGGUACUUUUAACAUCUUAUCAAGUUUGGAUAAACAAAGUUGUGAAGGGCUACUUCCUGUUUCUCUUGGAUUUUUUAUUCUAUGUGUAUAAAAAAAAGUUUGCAAACUACUUUAUGAAUGAUAAAUAAAAGGUGUAGUUCACCUGAUGUUGAUGUAACCUAUCUAAACACAGAAAUAAAAAAUACAAAAGGAUUACAACAUGUGAUUCUAAUUAGGCUUUUGAUUAUAUUGUUUUAAUUAUGUAAUAUAGGUAUGUGGAAUGUUAUUGAUAAUAUGAAAAAAUCCUUUUUUUUAUUUCUUAAUUUAUAUGCUUAGUCACUUUAUAUAUACUUAAAUCAAGGUUUGUGCUCCUGAAUUUUGCUAGCAGCUAGACAAAUCCAAUCAAAGUUUUUAGGAUUAGGAAAAAAUGAAAAGGUGUCUAGGAAAGGGAAAACAAGUGUUCUGGUUGAAUGUGUAUUAAUAAUGAAAUACAUAUAUUAUAAGCUUUCUUGGGCCAAGGUUUUUCGCUUAUAAUAUGACAUUAGACUGAGAAUUGUUUAUUGUCAUUUCUAGUAGAUGUUAAAGCCCCCAAGUUCAAACUUCUAAUGUCUUCUCUAGAAUUUGCAAAUUAAGAAAUGUGAAAAUAAAGACUCUCAUAUUCACAUUGAUAUGUUUGCUUAGAUGCCCUUUUUGUUUUGUAC
ensembl:lincRNA